ACGGGUGAGUAAUACAUCGGAACGUAUCCUGGAGUGGGGGAUAGCCCGGCGAAAGCCGGAUUAAUACCGCAUACGCUCUGAGGAGGAAAGCGGGGGACCUUCGGGCCUCGCGCUCAAGGGGCGGCCGAUGGCGGAUUAGGUAGUUGGUGGGGUAAAGGCCUAUCAAGCCGACGAUCCGUAGCUGGUCUGAGAGGACGACCAGCCACACUGGGACUGAGACACGGCCCAGACUCCUACGGGAGGCAGCAGUGGGGAAUUUUGGACAAUGGGGGCAACCCUGAUCCAGCAAUGCCGCGUGUGUGAAGAAGGCCUUCGGGUUGUAAAGCACUUUUGUCCGGAAAGAAAUCAUCGGGGCCAAUACCCCUGGUGGAUGACGGUACCGGAAGAAUAAGCACCGGCUAACUACGUGCCAGCAGCCGCGGUAAUACGUAGGGUGCGAGCGUUAAUCGGAAUUACUGGGCGUAAAGCGUGCGCAGGCGGUGCUGUAAGACCGAUGUGAAAUCCCCGGGCUUAACCUGGGAACUGCAUUGGUGACUGCAGCGCUGGAGUAUGGCAGAGGGGGGUGGAAUUCCACGU
rnacentral:rRNA from 1 species